CAAUAGCGUAUAUUAAAGUUGUUGCGGUUAAAAAGCUCGUAGUUGGAGUUCAGGGUGAGCUCAGCUGGUCGGCCUAAUGGGUCAGAACUGGUUGACUCUCCCUUGGUUGUGGAUCCCUCCGGAGUUAAUUCUUCGGGUGUGGAGUCCACAUCGUUUACCUUGAAAAAAUUAGAGUGUUCAAAGCAGGCGUUUGCUUGAAUAUAUUAGCAUGGAAUAAUGGAAUAGGACGCUGGUUCUAUUUUGUUGGUUUUGAGAACCAGAGUAAUGAUUAAUAGGGACAGUUGGGGGCAUUCAUAUUUCAUUGUCAGAGGUGAAAUUCUUGGAUUUAUGAAAGAUGAACUUCUGCGAAAGCAUUUGCCAAGGAUGUUUUCAUUAAUCAAGAACGAAAGUUAGGGGAUCGAAGAUGAUUAGAUACCAU
rnacentral:rRNA from 1 species